ACAUGCACUCAUUUUUUCCACCAUAACCGAAUGCUAAAAGAAAAGACAAAGAAUAAGCUUUGAAAGUUUCGGCCAUUUGGUAGCAUAAUCAAGUUUUAUAGAUUUUGGAUUCAAGUUACGAGCUCAGGGGAUCGUCAGUAAAGUCUUUCACACUAUCGACUGCCUUCGGUAUCUUAUAAACUAAUUUUUGAACCUAUGGCAUGUAUAGGCUAGAUUAUAUUUUGGAGAUGUUGGAUUUUAGUUUAUGUAUAAAUCUAAGCCAUGCGAAAAUGGAUUGAUUUCUAUGCUUGAAUUUUCGUUAUGUUUGUUCA